rnacentral:lncRNA from 1 species
AUAACUUAAGGAAGGUAAGAUAACAUUGUUUAAACUUUGUUAAACCUUAAGGAAUGUAAAGGUUGAGAUAGCCUAGUCAAAAUAUAAUGCAAGUACAAUGAUAAACCGGAACGAAUAGUAACUGAAUCUAAUACACAAUUAGAUUGAAAUGAAGGGUAUGAUAUAGUCAUAUACAUACUUGAUUAUAUGUGACCUAAUGUAAGGCCUUAUGUGAUCAUGUAUUGUAGAGACUUGAACGACUUGAACAUAAAGUUAAUUUACCGUAGCAGACGCUAAAGG